GCAUUGCCCUGGAUUGGGCCAAGGACCUGCGGUGGUCGCUCGCGUCGUGGUCACCCAUAUCGCGGCUAAAAGGGAAUAAUUCCGGGAUUCCUCUGAGCCUAGAAGGGGCCCCACCGUCCCGGGGAGUUUGGGGAAGUCCAGGCAUCCGGCCAAAAGCUGCAGGACCAGCGGAGAAGACCUACACUUGGAAAUGGCAAAGUGCCACUUUGAGGCAUAGGGGCCCGCUAAAUACAUUAUUUGGCCACGCCUGAGGACAAGGAGUUUGAACUGCGGGAUCAGUAGGAUGAGAGUCUGGAAGCUACAGCCAAGAUCCUAACACUACUAAUGACAUUCGGGCGAUUGCCUUUUUCACUAUUUACAUCACCACCGUGCCCGAGACAACUGGCGAUUUGCAGCCUCGCCUCCUUGUAAGCUCUUGGCUCCCCCAACCACGCCUGAUCGAACUCGGCCUGCUGCAGGAAAAGGAAUGGCAUCCGUGGCACGAGGUCUCAUAAAACCUCGGGAAGGCUGGCAGCUACGGUGAUGGUUACUGUGGCUUUGGGGAGCAAGAACUGGGUUAUUUGGGAUUCCCAAGGACCAAUCAACAAUUACGCGUUUAAUGCCACUAGCUCUUCCCUGAACCAACAGAGACUACAGACAAUUAGACGCUACCCAGGUGCCUGGGUGUGGCUGAGAUGAUCUACAUACAUCUAACAGUGCAUUCCACGCUAAAGAUUGUCCUUUACUGGGCAGAUGUCUUGCUAUUUAUAGAGACUGCCAUUGCUUUAGUUUGUUAAAAAAUGUGAUCUUUCUAAACCAUCUGCUGGAAAGCAAGCCUCUCCUGCUUGAGUGUAAACUCUCCUUCAGGGUAGGUACUGUGUCUUCUCUUUUCCUCUCUCAAAUGCUUAAUAUAACUGUUUUCCUUCGCUCUUUGACUG